GCCCCAGACUCCUACGGGAGGCAGCAGUGGGGGAUAUUGCACAAUGGGGGGAACCCUGAUGCAGCGACGCCGCGUGGGUGAAGGAGCGUUUCGGCGCGUAAAGCCCUAUCGGCAGGGAAGAAGAUGACGGUACCUGACCAAGAAGCCCCGGCUAACUACGUGCCAGCAGCCGCGGGAAUACGUAGGGGGCAAGCGUUAUCCGGAUUUACUGGGUGUAAAGGGAGCGUAGACGGCAAUGCAAGUCUGGAGUGAAAGGCGGGGGCCCAACCCCCGGACUGCUCUGGAAACUGUAUAGCUGGAGUGCAGGAGAGGUAAGUGGAAUUCCUAGUGUAGCGGUGAAAUGCGUAGAUAUUAGGAGGAACACCAGUGGCGAAGGCGGCUUACUGGACUGUAACUGACGUUGAGGCCCGAAGGCGUGGGGAGCAAACAGGAUUAGAUACCCUCGUA
rnacentral:rRNA from 1 species